rnacentral:lncRNA from 1 species
GCUCAGAAAAUACUUGAAUGAAAACUUCUUUGUAAAUUGUGAAAGGAGGAGACAGAGACACAUUUAUGGAGCGCCCACUGUAGGUCUUGAAAUAGAUGAACCUAUAUUCCUCCCCAAUGAGGAAGGAGGUAUUGUGAUUAUCACUUUUGGAGAGGAAGAAACAGAGAUUCAGAAGAAUGAAGGGACUUGCCAAACUUCACGGAGAAACAUACUUGGGAUUUAAACUCAGAAGUGUUUCUUUCAACUACCUCACAAGUGAUUCUUCUUGGAUCAAGGAAAGCACCAUUGGCCCAUCUCUACAGAUUGCAGAUCAGAAUUAUUUCUUGCCUACAGUCCGCACUGGAAAUGUCUGUCCAAGACCAGAAUCUACAUCUCUUGAAAAAAAAAAAAAAAUUAAAGUCGUGCCUGCAAAUUCCUCAGGCAAAGAAAGAAUCAAGCCACAAGCAUCCAGGUCACCUUAUGCAAGCUGGGAUGGUGUCGUCAAACCAGAAACACUUCUGGGCAUCUUAGAACUUAGGACUCAGCCUUGAUUCAUGAGGAUACCUCAGGUAUACAGUCCAGGUCAAAAGAAGGACUAGCCAGGGGACAGGCUGUGCCGUGAAAAGCAGGAUCUGGAGCCACCAGGGUAGAACAAGUUCUGGAGACAGAGCCAGCUAAAGAAAAAGGAUGUGAUGACUGGAAUUCAAGCAGCUCUCUUGGACUAUGAGAUGACCCUAAUGGUGGAAGCCACACUGAGAACAGUGGAGAAGGAAGAUGAGAUUUUGGGCUUCUGAUGAUAUCAAGAAGCUCCCAUAACAACCCUGGAC